UACGUAGGGAGCAAGCGUUGUUCGGAUUUACUGGGCGUAAAGGGCGCGUAGGCGGCGCGGUAAGUCACUUGUGAAAUCUCUGAGCUUAACUCAGAACGGCCAAGUGAUACUGCAGUGCUAGAGUGCAGAAGGGGCAAUCGGAAUUCUUGGUGUAGCGGUGAAAUGCGUAGAUAUCAAGAGGAACACCUGAGGUGAAGACGGGUUGCUGGGCUGACACUGACGCUGAGGCGCGAAAGCCAGGGGAGCAAGCGGG
rnacentral:rRNA from 1 species